rnacentral:rRNA from 1 species
AUUGAACGCUGGCGGCAGGCCUAACACAUGCAAGUCGAACGGCAGCGGGGAGUAGCUUGCUACUCUGCCGGCGAGUGGCGGACGGGUGAGUAAUGCCUGGGGAGCUGCCCAAUCGAGGGGGAUACCAGUUGGAAACGACUGCUAAUACCGCAUACGCCCUGAGGGGGAAAGGUGGGGAUCUUCGGACCUAUCGCGAUUGGAUGCACCAAGGUGGGAUUAGCUAGUUGGUGAGGUAACGGCUCACCAAGGCGACGAUCUCUAGCUGGUCUGGGAGGAUGACCAGCCACACUGGAACUGAGACACGGUCCAGACUCCUACGGGAGGCAGCAGUGGGGAAUAUUGCACAAUGGGGGAAACCCUGAUGCAGCCAUGCCGCGUGUGUGAAGAAGGCCUUCGGGUUGUAAAGCACUUUCAGCGAGGAGGAAAGGGUGGCAGCUAAUACCUGUCAUCUGUGACGUUACUCGCAGAAGAAGCACCGGCUAACUCCGUGCCAGCCGCCGCAGUAA